CCUGGUGGCGAGUGGCGAACGGGUGAGUAAUACAUCGGAACAUGUCCUGUAGUGGGGGAUAGCCCGGCGAAAGCCGGAUUAAUACCGCAUACGAUCUACGGAUGAAAGCGGGGGACCUUCGGGCCUCGCGCUAUAGGGUUGGCCGAUGGCUGAUUAGCUAGUUGGUGGGGUAAAGGCCUACCAAGGCGACGAUCAGUAGCUGGUCUGAGAGGACGACCAGCCACACUGGGACUGAGACACGGCCCAG
rnacentral:rRNA from 1 species